UAAAUUGGUGCGGUGACCCCAGGUCUAGAUCCACUUUUGUGGACACAAGGUCUCCAGAGUUUCCUUCAGGUCACUUCCAAUGCCUGGCCCGGCACCCAGGAGGGACACUUCAGGCUGCCCUUUGGACAAUCCCUUCCCCUUGGGAGCAGCAGGGCCCGUGACGAGUCGUGUCUUCAGCUCUGCUACUGGGGCUCAGAUUUUCAUAUUUAGGAGGCCGGCUCCCAGCGGUGUUGGAACGCCUGCCUCUCAGUGGCCGUCCCAGGGACCUUAUUCUCUGCCAGCGAUGGUCCUUUUCCCCGUCCUCUUCUGCUUUAGAACGGCUGCUGCUGGAUGACCCGAGGAGUCUCUCACAGGCGGACACAGAGAGAGACGAGCGGAGCAGGAAGCCCCGCGGCGGGGAGCGGGCACCUGUGCCCACCUAGCGCACCACCAGAUACCAACCUUGGCCACCUUCUUCCUUCCAAGCACAAGGACGCUUUCCGGAGCAUCACGCCCUCGGCACCUGCCUCGCUCACAACACCCCCUCGGGCUUGGGCUCGAGGCUGUUGAGUCCAGAGACUCUGACCCCUGCAGACACCCCCUGCCUGCUUCCCUCCUGCUCACGUGAGCCUCGGGGGGGGGAGGGGUCAGUGGGACUCAGCCACAGCAGUCGUCCACGAAGCAAGCUUCGUACGCGGCGGACGUGCGCAGGGACCGCUCUUUGUAUACACUUGAAACACCGGCACUAAAUCGGGCUCCCAUUAAAGCUGGGCCACCUGGCUGACCCGAGUCCAGUGAGGGCGGCGCCUGGGCCUGAGCCGUGGGGACUCCAUGAGCGCGUCAGGCCACCUCGAGUUGCCUUAAAGCCCCGUGACCUUAACCGACCCGCGCGGAGCCUGGAUCUCUUGGUCCAGCAGUCCCCAUCAGCCCAGACCCUAGAGUCCUUCUGGGACCUGCACCGGCUCUGUGUCGGCCUGCGCUACGGGACACGGCGUUCUUUAAGAACGGUUUCGUCAUCACCGCCCUUCCUAUGACGUCCUAAGCGCACUGUCUCAAGGAAAGUCAGGUGCACUGCAGACACCUUGCCCCUCAAGCUAUUCUGGUUGCCAUGUGGCCACCAGGACUGUAAAAAACAAGGACAAAAAUUAAGAAAAAAUUCUUCUUUCUUUCCAGAUAGCUUGUAACUCUCAAAAACAACGGGGAUGAAGGGACUUCGUAAGAACAUCACGCCUGGGUCAGCCCUGUGCCUCACCCCCACUCCGUGAACACCCGAGUGCCUGGUAAGGACAAAAAUCACAAACUUCAAGUAUUUAACCAGUGUCUGCUGCUUCUGAGGGGUUUCACAUGGCUUUCCGCUCAGAGUCACCGGGGACACCGGAUGCUGAGACGGGGCCAGCAAGUGACUUGUCUGGAGCAGGACGUGGUGGCCCCGCUGCCCCCCCCCCCCCCCAGCACCGCCGGAUGCUGGGCGGAGACGGCGGUGGGUGUCACAAGCCAACACUCGGUGUCUGUCUACAUCUCCUUCAGUCCUAAGAGAGGGGUCUGUCCUGGCUCUCACGGUGCGCUAAUGGCUAUUUGCCGUGUCAUAUUACAGGUUAAAGUUCCGUUUACGGCCCCUGCUGUGAGAGCUUAAGAAGGCAAACGGAUCACGUUUGCCACGUCGCUGGUGUGGACACUCGGAACCAGGAGUUUUGAAAUAUGCGUUGUGGUAGAACAAUGAAGUGUGUGCAGAAUCUGUGUGUCGAGAACAACCACCGAAAUCUGACUGUUGACCUGAGUUUUGUUAGAGCGACAGCUGUUUGUGUGCAAUUAAAGUCUGAUCGCAAGACUAUUCUGCCAAUGGGUAAGUAUUUAUUUUCUAAAUAAUAACUUAAGUGACCGAGCUGAACUGCCUGGUUCCUCGCAUGGAUGGUGCUUCGUGUGGACAGGCACCCCGCUCUCCGCACCACCCUCCCCCCCCCCCCCCCGCCCUGCCCCCGCCCACAACAUGCCCCGAGGGAGGGGAGUCUGAAGGCAAUAAACCUCAUUCUGUCUAAGAAAA